UGGAGGUAAUGUCUGGGAAACGUAGCCUGAUGGAGGGGGGGAGUAACUACUGGAAACGGUAGCUAAUACCGCAUAACGUCGCAAGACCAAAGAGGGGGACCUUCGGGCCUCUUGCCAUCGGAUGUGCCCAGAUGGGAUUAGCUAGUAGGUGGGGUAACGGCUCACCUAGGCGACGAUCCCUAGCUGGUCUGAGAGGAUGACCAGCCACACUGGAACUGAGACACGGUCCAGACUCCUACGGGAGGCAGCAUUG
rnacentral:rRNA from 1 species